UGGCGGUGGCUCAGUGGUUAAGAGCAUCGGCUUCAGACUGGAAGGUGCCAGGUUCGAUCCCUUUCACGGGAG